rnacentral:rRNA from 1 species
UACGAAGGGGGCUAGCGUUGCUCGGAAUUACUGGGCGUAAAGCGCACGUAGGCGGAUUGUUAAGUCGGGGGUGAAAUCCUGGAGCUCAACUCCAGAACUGCCUUCGAAACUGGCGAUCUUGAGUCCGGGAGAGGUGAGUGGAACUGCGAGUGUAGAGGUGAAAUUCGUGGAUAUUCGCAAGAACACCAGUGGCGAAGGCGGCUCACUGGCCCGGUACUGACGCUGAGGUGCGAAAGCGUGGGGAGCAAACAGG